UACGGGGGGGGCAAGCGUUGUUCGGAAUUACUGGGCGUAAAGGGCUCGUAGGCGGCCAACUAAGUCAGACGUGAAAUCCCUCGGCUUAACCGGGGAACUGCGUCUGAUACUGGAUGGCUUGAGUUUGGGAGAGGGAUGCGGAAUUCCAGGUGUAGCGGUGAAAUGCGUAGAUAUUGGGAAGAACACCGGUGGCGAAGGCGGCGCUCUGGACCGAGACUGACGCUGAGGCGCGAAAGCGUGGGGAGCAAACAGG
rnacentral:rRNA from 1 species